GCGGGAAAAGCUCAAAUUUAAAAUCUGGCGGUCUUUGGCCGUCCGAGUUGUAGUCUGGAGAAGUGCUUUCCGCGCUGGACCGUGUAUAAGUCUCUUGGAACAGAGCGUCAUAGAGGGUGAGAAUCCCGUCUUUGACACGGACUACCAGUGCUUUGUGAUGCGCUCUCAAAGAGUCGAGUUGUUUGGGAAUGCAGCUCAAAAUGGGUGGUGAAUUCCAUCUAAAGCUAAAUAUUGGCGAGAGACCGAUAGCGAACAAGUACCGUGAGGGAAAGAUGAAAAGCACUUUGGAAAGAGAGUUAAACAGUACGUGAAAUUGCUGAAAGGGAAACGCUUGAAGUCAGUCGCGUUAGCCGGAACUCAGCCUUGCUUUCGCUUGGUGCACUUUCCGGUUGACGGGCCAGCAUCGAUUUUGACCGUCGGAUAAGGGCUAGAGUAAUGUGGCACCUCCGGG
rnacentral:rRNA from 1 species